GAUGACCCUAGGAAGUCAUUUAUGAUAGAAUUGACCCAAAUUUGAUAUGGCCUCUCCGUGAACACCUUAGCCUCAAAUCGGUCUGAACUAUGAGGUCAAGAGAAAAGUAGUUCUUGCUGACUUAUUAGUUUAGUAAAAGAUUGAGAGAUCUUGCUAGGGUAAGGAAUAGAUGAUAGAGUAGAAACCCAAAAUAAGAAUUACUUAUAACCAUC
rnacentral:lncRNA from 1 species